AAGGUUGUGUCCGAGGUUGUGUCUGAAGGUUGUGUCCGAGGUUGUGUCCGAGGUUGUGUCUGAAGGUUGUGUCCGAGGUUGUGUCUGAAGGUUGUGUCCGAGGUUGUGUCCGAGGUUGUGUCUGAAGGUUGUGUCCGAGGUUGUGUCCGAGGUUGUGUCCGAGGUUGUGUCUGAAGGUUGUGUCUGAAGGUUGUGUCCGAGGUUGUGUCUGAAGGUUGUGUCCGAGGUUGUGUCCGAGGUUGUGUCUGAAGGUUGUGUCCGAGGUUGUGUCUGAAGGUUGUGUCCGAGGUUGUGUCUGAAGGUUGUGUCCGAGGUUGUGUCCGA